UUUCAGGGUCACCUGUACAGAGUCGUACUUCGUGAGUGAACUUGCUUGGUGCCCCGCGGAGGAACUGGAGAGCGCUCGUGACGUCACGCUUGAGGUCUGUACCCUGAGGGAGCCUCAGGACGAACUCACCUCCGCAGAUGUUCUUCAAAAAGCUGCCCUAAGCCCCGAUGUCAAGAAUGGUCUUGAUGGUCGACCCUAUUUGCUGGAUAUCGACUUGGACUUCUAUUCUACAAGAAAUCCUUUCCUGAGCUUAUUUAACGAAGAGCAAUUUAGUAUUCUACGACAGCUGUAUCAUUAUCAACAUCCAGAACAGCUCACCGAAGCGGCUUUACAGGAAGCAACAUCCAGAAGACGAGAGCAACUGUCCGACUUGGAAUCUAUCUUCAACAGUGUGAGGGAUGGAGUGCCUCUUCCACCUUCUCAACGGUAACGUAACUAACCCAUUCACGUAAACAUUUGUAAUAGUAAACUGGCAACGUGUUUGAUAGAUGGAUUUUACCCCUUUGCGGCUAGUCGAGGGACGCGUCGGAUGGCCAUCCGUUAAUCCAUCUGCAGAAAUUGUCAGUGGACAGUUAGGAGUACACAUUCUGGCCAUACGUCCA